rfam:Aspergillus clavatus NRRL 1 1099423829795 genomic scaffold, whole genome shotgun sequence.
GUCUCCGUGGCCCAGCUGGUUAAGGCGUCCGACUGUUACUUAAUAGUAAUCGGGAGAUCGGCAGUUCGAUCCUGCCCGGGGACG